rnacentral:lncRNA from 1 species
UUCACAAUAAGUAGCUAUCUUGCAGAAUAAAGUUGAUCUUGCUAGCUAGAUAUUAGUUUGUUAUUAACAAAAUUUUGGUCAUUAUAUUAGCCCAAAAAAUGGAAACAAAAUAAUUGGAUGGGACAUUUCCUCAGCACAUUUGCAUAUUUGAAAAAAACAGACCUCCAUUUUUUUCUGGUAUGAGGAUGUAAUAGUCAUUCACAUUCUUACAACGAUGAGACCAUUGCAACUUAUGAUUAUUCUGGAACUGAUUAUCUAGUUUGGGGGCUCUCCACUCCCAUUGCUUCUCUGGUUUUCCCCAUACUGUUCUUGUGGUAGUGAAUAAGUCUCACCAGAUCUGAUGGUUUUAUAAGGGGAAACCCCUUUCACUUGGUUGUCAUUCUCUCUUUGCCUGCUGCCAUGUAAUUAUUCAAGGUUUUAAAAUUUCAGAGUAAGAAUAGACUUUAAAUAAUAUUCCACUACUUUAUAAUAAAAGUAAAAUCUGCACUUGCUAAAAAAUUAAAAUGUUACAGAUAGCUAUCAAAAGACAUUAAUACCCACCCUCUGAGACAGAAUUUAUUAGUUCUCUUUUUAUGAAGGAGACAAUGAAUCACAAAGACGUAUUGCUGCAUUAAGAAGGGACAUAGUCAAGAUUUGCGCUUAGGUUUACCUGGCUCUCCAAAUUCAUUCUGUUUGUAUUGGAGAACAGAACAGCAAGCCGCAUGUUAAAAAAAAAAAAAAAAUUAAGAAAUUAUGAAGAGCUCCAUGGAUAAAAAAGAUAAUCAGAUAAAGUUAAAAGUUUCUGUAAUUUAUGUGAAAUUCCAUUUGUUUAGGGCCCAGCAAAGCACUUCACACAACUUGACAUUUAAUAAAGGUUUGAGGCUUCCCCUUUUCAUGCCUAUGUCAUUAUUAGCAGCAAAUAUUUAAAUGCUAUUAAAUGUUGUUUUUCCAAGGGGGAAUAUCAAACAACACAUUUUAAAAACAUUUUUGGAGUAAUGUGUAAAGCACUGAGAAUACAAUCCUGAACAUGAAAACUAUCCCUGUAGUUAAAUAAUUUAAAAACUCAUGAAAAAGAUAGAGGCAUAACCUUUAAAAAACACUCCAUUUUACAACUGAGAUGACAGAGAAGCUCAAAAGAGGCUGUGAUCAUAAGAGAGUAUUUCACAGAAGAGAUGGAUUUUGAGUUGAACCUGCAAAGAAGAAGAGCAUAACAAAGGCAUAGGGCAAGGUUGGGAGAACUAAGACAUGUUUGAAGGACAAUUUGAAUACAAUAGAGGGAAAAUUCAUGUUGGGAGUAAAAGAAGAAAGAUACAAAGAGGUUGGUGUCCAUUUUUAUCCCUUUUAGGAUUCUCCCUGGUACCCAGAAGAUAUCUUUCUGCUCUUUCCUCUCUAUUGUCCUUGGUAUAUGACCAAGAAAUUUAAACGAAUUUGUGUAUCAGCAUAAGCGAAAUACCAGAAAGUUGCUAAGCUAUGAAAAUUAUAUAACCCAAUUCCAAAGCUAACCACAAAUGACUUGUAUUUUGUACUAUACUCCAUUAUUCAUUCACUCUCUCCCCUCUAUUAUGAGGAUUUCGGAGAACUGCCUGUGUAUUACAAAUGAAAAGUUUUCCAAAAAGAAAAAAAAAAUAGCUGUUUUCUAACAGAACCACUGUAUUCUCAUACCAGUAUCAAGCACCUCUUUUUUUUUUUUUUUUUUUUUUUAGCUUGUCAUUUUGUGAAACACUUGCUUAUAGAAUAGUUUCUUUGUGGCUCACAUGUUGUAGUAAUUAGGAACAAUAGUUUCAGUUCAGGAGAGCGUGAGGUAAUAAUGGCUUUCUGAAAGUAAACUCAGAAAUAGUCACUGUGCCCAGCAGAACUCAAAACAGGCAGGAAAGAACUCAGGAACCACAGAGGCAGAAUCCCUACUUUUGUUUUCUCUGUUAAUGGGA